rnacentral:lncRNA from 1 species
UCAUCAAGGACAAUUAACCACGAAUGAACCAGCUUAUGCCUACAUUAUACUUUAAAGUAUGAACCUCAAAAGUCAAUAACCCAAGCUAAUUAUUUGGUUCUUUAAACUAUGCGUGCAACGUGACGCUACUUCCCACUCUCCUUGAUAAGCAUCAAGCACCUGCAUUGAGUAAUGCAAGAGUGAGAUGAAACAUCUCAGCAAGCAAAUUAUUUUGACAAGAUAUUUAAACCACAAGUUGAAUUAAUCAACAUUUUAAAAGAAUCUCAAUUAAGAUGAGAAAUACUUGUAGGUAUAGAAUUCAAUAGUUCCAAUAUAACCAAUACUAUCUCAUUUCCUCGAACAACCACAAUAGGUUGUAUAACACUUCCCUGCGUCAACAAUAUCUGCAAAUAUCACUUCAAUGAAUGCAUAGGAAUGCAAUGUGUAUGUCUUCUGCCUUCACACCUCUGACGGUAUAAAACCACAUCAUCUGCAAAUAUCACUUCAAUGAAUGCAUAUGUCCUCUGCCUUCAUACCUCUGAGGGUAUGAAGCCGCAUCGUACCCCUCCUCGGGCAACGUACGAUGCUAAGUUGUACCGGUACGGUCGGACCAUAGGUCACGACAAAACUUCAGAUGCAAAUGAGUCAUGCAAUGCAUAUGGCAUGCUGCAUUUAUCAAUAUACUUCAGUUCCUUCACAUACAAUACAAACCUCAAAUAAUACUUCAUCGUCCUUCAGGGGUGUGAAUUAAUCACAUGGGUCAUACUUGAACCAUAAUCAUCAUCAAUAUAUGAUUGAGCAUCAAUAUAAUACCAUCAAGUAAAGCAUCAUCAUAAAGUUCAAUUAUGAAAGAAUUCAAUAAUUCUGAAUAUUAUAGUGUAGGCGAUAAAAAUAACAAGUCAAAACGGUAGCAACCACCGCUACAUUCACUUGUCUUUAUCGAAGAAGAAAAUGUACUAAGCAUGAUCCGGAGCAUAACCACCUGUUGCGGCCCAUAAAACUUAGUACAAAUAUUUCAUAAACAUUUUCCAACAAUCAACAAAUCGUUCCUACGCUUGAAACCAAGACCUGGUGAAAAGACUCUCACCCUGAACCACAUGUCAAACAGCAGCAGCGCUGUUUGUUAAUUUUGUAUCUUUAAAAUUAUAACAGUGGUGAUAUCAAACAAAUACUCUAGGAGUAUCUACACAAAAUACUCUACAACUUCGGUAUUCAAUGGAUAACUAAACUUUGCCAUCUAUAAGUUCUAAAACAUCCGACAAGAUAACUGACUGAAUCUAUUUCAGGCAGCAGCAUAGCUAAAAUGAAAAUUCGAUAUCUCCCAAACUACUAAACCAAAAAUUAUGAAAUUUUGCUGGCAGUAAGAACUUUUAUCCCUCUACAAAAUUUUCCAUAGUUGGAAGAGCCAACUCAGCAAUUUACUAUAUAAAACCCACCAGUGAACAGACCUGCUCGGUUUUUGCCAGGCAAACAGGAACAGCCACAGUAAAACAAACAUAACUGGAGUUUCAAAAUUCAUAUGAAUACACUCUUUAUCAAUCUGGAAAGCUUAUGAAAUUAUCUACAACUUCUCUUACUAACCAAAAGUUUAAUUCUGUUGAUAGAAUUGCCUAAAUCUCAUGAGAACAGAUUCUGCACAGAAUUAUGAGACUGAAAAACUGUUAUAAUCAAACUGCAAUUACUCUCUGACCUGAUGUCCGAUUGAGGUGUUCUUUGCGGCCAAGGAAAGAUAUCUAAAUUAUCUACAACUCAUAGAUAGACUUUUUAUUUUUUUGAGGCCUCUAAGAUCAUGGAAAACUGGCAUGAACAAAAACUAUCAAAUCUGUCAUUCUGCAGAGACUAAUUUCGAGAUCAAAAAUCUAAUUCCCCAUCUAAUCCAACAUAAAGGGCUAAUUGCAGGGCCUAAAACUCAUCCAAAACAAGGUAAAACAUCCAUCAAGUGGGGAAAAUGGAGAGAGGAAAGGAAAUCCAACCAAUUCUUGAAUAGGAACGAUGACGACGACAGGCGACUGCGUGCCCUAAUCUUCCCUCUCUUCUCUCCCUUGUUCUUCCUCUCUUCUCUUGGGGCAAGGCACAAAAG